rnacentral:rRNA from 1 species
UACGGAGGAUGCAAGCGUUAUCCGGAUUUAUUGGGUUUAAAGGGUGCGCAGGCGGAAUGAUAAGUCAGUGGUGAAAUCCUACAGCUCAACUGUAGAACUGCCAUUGAUACUGUUGUUCUUGAGUACAUUUGUAGUGGGCGGAAUGUGUCAUGUAGCGGUGAAAUGCUUAGAGAUGACACAGAACACCGAUCGCGAAGGCAGCUCACUAAACUGUAACUGACGCUGAAGCACGAAAGCGUGGGGAUCAAACAGGAUUAGAUACCCUGGUAGUCCACGCUGUAAACGAUGAUCACUCGAUGUUGGCGAUACACUGUCAGCGUCUAAGGGAAACCAUUAAGUGAUCCACCUGGGGAGUACGGUCGCAAGAUUG